GACGAACGCUGGCGGCGUGCUUAACACAUGCAAGUCGAACGGAAAGGCCCUGCUUUUGUGGGGUGCUCGAGUGGCGAACGGGUGAGUAACACGUGAGUAACCUGCCCUUGACUUUGGGAUAACUUCAGGAAACUGGGGCUAAUACCGGAUAGGAGCUCCUGCUGCAUGGUGGGGGUUGGAACGUUUCGGCGGUUGGGGAUGGACGCGCGGCUUAUCAGCUUGUUGGUGGGGUAGUGGCAUACCAAGGCUUUGACGGGUAGCCGGCCUGAGAGGGUGACCGGCGACAUGGGGACUGAGAUACGGCCCAGACUCCUACGGGAGGCAGCAGUGGGGAAUAUUGCACAAUGGGCGGAAGCCUGAUGCAGCAACGCCGCGUGCGGGAUGACGGCCUUCGGGGUGUAAACCGCUUUCGCCUGUGACGAAGCGUGAGUGACGGUAAUGGGUAAAGAAGCACCGGCUAACUACGUG
rnacentral:rRNA from 1 species